AUACGGAGGGUGCAAGCGUUACUCGGAAUCACUGGGCGUAAAGCGCGCGCAGGCGGCUAUUUAAGUUGGAUGUGAAAGCCUACGGCUCAACCGUAGAACUGCAUCCAAAACUAUUUAGCGAGAGUGUGGGAGAGGAAGAUGGAAUUAGUUGUGUAGGGGUAAAAUCCGUAGAGAUAACUAGGAAUACCAAAAGCGAAGGCAAUCUUCUGGAACACUACUGACGCUGAGGCGCGAAAGCGUGGGGAGCAAACAGGAUUAGAAACCCUAGAGUCC
rnacentral:rRNA from 1 species